GGAAAAUUGUGUUGGUUUAACGCACACCUACAUGAUAAUGCUACUUAUGCCUUAUGGAGAUUGUCUGGCUGUAAGUUUGCAACCUGCUACAUUCCUGAUUGUGUAUAAACUAUUCUUUACUGCUGACUAAACAGAUCCGUGACUCAUUAUUUCUGAAUUUGCUCGUUCGAAAUGAUUUCAUUUUACAUUCAUCUGUCGUCGAAAAUGUUGGAAAAGGAGAAGGCUGUCCUGGCACGAAGCUGCCCUUUCUGGGUUUAAGGAUGAACAUCAAGGCUAAUCCUGUAAGGAAGGCAGGAAGGAAACAUUCUGGUGGUGUUUCUAGCCUAAUCUUUAUUGCCCUGCUUACAGAAACUGCCUCUCUUAUUACAUUGUAACAGUUCCAGAAUCAAGAGCUGUAAAAGCAGAAUGAAGUUGUUUAGUCUGCGGGAAGCAAGACUGUGUGUUACAAAGAGAACGGACUGAAAUAUUAUUCCAUCCAAUUUGUACCGCAGUUGUACUUUUAUGAAACAACCAUACAGAUCUGAAAUGGCAACAGCAAAGACAAAAAAAAAAAAAAGGAAUUAAAGACAUGAAAAAUACGACCUUAUGGAGAAAAUGCAGAUCUUUUAAUCAUCCACAUACCUUACCCAUCUAAAUGAACAUCUGUGCUACAGCCAAGAAAUUAAAAGAUGCUUGCUCCUGGGGAGGAAAGCUAUGGCAAAUCUAGACAGCGUACUAAAAAGCAGAGACAUCACCCUGCCAACAAAAGUGUGUCUAGUCAAAGCUAUGGUUUUCCCAGUUGCAAUGGAUGGCAGUGAAAGUUGGACCAUAAGGAAGGCUGAGCGCCAAAGAAUGGAGGCCUUUGAACUCUGGGGCUGGAGAAGACUCCUGCGAGUCCCUUGGACUGCAAGGCGAUCCAAUGGAUCAGUCCUAGAGGAGAUCAACCCUGACUGUUGGCCAGAUCCUGAAGAGGAAACUCAAAUACUUUGUCCACCAGUCCUCGGUUUGCAAUCAGAAUUGGGGCUGGAAUUCUGGUCGUAAGUCAUUGCGGUCAUAAGUCGAGGUAGCACAUAACCCGACUUAAUGUUUUCUUCCACUUUUUACGGCAGUGGUUAAAGUGAAUCUCGUGGCCGUAACUCCAAAUCAACUCUCCCAAAUGGGCAUUUCCCCCCACCCCAUGAUUAAACAAUAAAUUGAGGAUUACUAUGUAUUCUGCUCUUUAACUGUGAAAUAAUGAAUGGGCACUAAACAAUAUACUCAGUCCUUAAGUCAUUACACUCCAGCUACAUCGUAAUUGAUGGCUAAUAAGAGCAUCUGUCUUUGUGUCUUAUCUCAAAAGUACUUUUUCAGGAGG